AAUAGAUACCCUGGUAGUCCACCCCGUAAACGUUGGGAACUAGUUGUGGGGUCCUUUCCACGGAUUCCGUGACGCAGCUAACGCAUUAAGUUCCCCGCCUGGGGAGUACGGCCGCAAGGCUAAAACUCAAAGGAAUUGACGGGGACCCGCACAAGCGGCGGAGCAUGCGGAUUAAUUCGAUGCAACGCGAAGAACCUUACCAAGGCUUGACAUACACGAGAACACCCUAGAAAUAGGGGACUCUUUGGACACUCGUGAACAGGUGGUGCAUGGUUGUCGUCAGCUCGUGUCGUGAGAUGUUGGGUUAAGUCCCGCAACGAGCGCAACCCUCGUUCUAUGUUGCCAGCACGUUAUGGUGGGAACUCAUGGGAUACUGCCGGGGUCAACUCGGAGGAAGGUGGGGAUGACGUCAAAUCAUCAUGCCCCUUAUGUCUUGGGCUUCACGCAUGCUACAAUGGCCGGUACAAGGGCUGCAAUACCGUGAGGUGAGCGAAUCCCAAAAAGCCGGUCCCAGUUCGGAUUGAGGUCUGCAACUCGA
rnacentral:rRNA from 1 species